rnacentral:rRNA from 1 species
AUUGAACGCUGGCGGCAGGCCUAACACAUGCAAGUCGAACGAGUGGCGGACGGGUGAGUAAUGUCUUGGAAACUGCCUGAUGGAGGGGGAUAACUACUGGAAAAGGUAGCUAAUACCGCAUACCAUCGGAUGUGCCGAGAUGGGAUUAGCUAGUCGGGGGGGUAAAGGCUCACGUAGGCGACGCUCCCUAGCUGGGCUGAGAGGAUGACCGGCCACACUGGAACUGAGACACGGCCCAGACUCCUACGGGAGGCAGCAGUAGGGAAUAUUGCACAAGGGGCGCAAGCCUGAUGCAGCCAUGCCGCGUGUAUGAAGAAGGCCUUCGGGUUGUAAAGUACUUUCAGCUGGGAGGCGGUAUCCGCAGAAGAAGCACCGGCUAACUCCGUGCCAGCCGCCGCGGUAAUUC